GAUGAAGAACGUAGCGAAAUGCGAUAAGUAAUGUGAAUUGCAGAAUUCAGUGAAUCAUCGAAUCUUUGAACGCACAUUGCGCCCGCCAGUAUUCUGGCGGGCAUGCCUGUUCGAGCGUCAUUUCAACCAUCAAGCCCCCGGCUUGUGUUGGGGACCUGCGGCUGCCGCAGGCCCUGAAAACCAGUGGCGGGCUCGCUAGUCACUCCGAGCGUAGUAAUACAUCUCGCUCAGGGCGUGCUGCGGGUUCCGGCCGUUAAAAAGCCUUAUUUACCCAAGGUUGACCUCGGAUCAGGUAGGAAGACCCGCUGAACUUAAGCAUAUCCAAUAAGCGGAGGA
rnacentral:misc_RNA from 1 species